rnacentral:misc_RNA from 1 species
CGCGAAGCCUUGCGGAUCGCCUGCUGGAUUCUGUGUGCCGUGAUCGCGGCGGGAUUUGCAAGCUGCCUGCCACGCAGCGGCGCGUGGCCGUUGCCGACCGGACUCGGCGGCGUCGUCGGCGAUGCGCUGGUGCGUUUCCCUGCGGUGGUGUUCGGUCCGCCCGGCCUGAUCUAUCGCAUCGUACUUGGCGUCAUCCUGUUCGCCGCAAUGAUCGGAAGCUUCGUCUUCGCAUGCGGCGCGGGCGCGCAGGAAAAGAUCGUCGA